UACGGAGGGGACUAGCGUUGUUCGGAAUUACUGGGCGUAAAGCGCGCGUAGGCGGAUUAGUAAGUCGGAGGUGAAAUCCCAGGGCUCAACCCUGGAAUUGCCUUUGAUCCUGCUAGUCUUGAGUUCGAGACAGGUGAGUGGAAUUCCGAGUGUAGAGGUGAAAUUCGUAGAUAUUCGGAGGAACACCAGUGGCGAAGGCGGCUCACUGGCUCGAUACUGACGCGGAGGUGCGAAAGUGUGGGGAGCAAACAGG
rnacentral:misc_RNA from 1 species